rnacentral:lncRNA from 1 species
AGGUGAUGUCUUGAACGCACCUCGGACAUCCAUUCUUGUUGUCUUCCGAGAGAGAGAGGAAAAUUUAUCGGCGAUCAUCCACGCGAUGGAGAAUUUGAUGCGUGAAGAUGGCCAGUGUUGUGGCCAUGGAGAUGAGGAACCACCGUGGCUCAUGACCUGACGCAGAAUGAAUUUCAGUUUGCUUUAGAGCUGAAGAGUUGAGGUUUUCAUUCCCUGAAACUAAAAUAACGAGGAAAAUGUCAACUUUAAGUAGUUGGUGGGCUUUGAUCCAAAAGAACUCCUAAAUGAAGAACCAUGGGUUGAGGCCACGCAUGCUUAGCUAGCAGUCGAUUACGAGCUGAUACUCGUGUUCCUGUGGUGCAGAAACUAUUUCAAUGCUUGUAUUUAGAGGCAUGAAUGGCUUGACUUGGUUUUAUCCAUUGGAAGGUGUUCCCAAUCAACGCUGUGGAUACCUUGAACAAGAGUUUUGGAUACUGUGACCAGAAGACUUUCUUGUCACAUUGAAGAAUUAUUCUGGUGAUUGUCUUGAGAUUUUAGCCUUGGGAACAUUGAAGAUCAUGAUUUGAUGUUGGAAUAAAGGAGUUAAAUGAU